rnacentral:tRNA from 1 species
GGGUGAUUAGCUCAGCUGGGAGAGCACCUCCCUUACAAGGAGGGGGUCGGCGGUUCGGAUCCCGUCAUCACCCA